GCAGCAGCUCUCGGGGAUAAACGCGAUCUUUUACUACUCGACGUCCAUCUUUGAGGGGGCGGGGCUACAGGACCCGGCCGUCGGCACCAUCGGCACGGGCGUGGUCAAUGUGGCCGCCACUGCCCUGUCGUGGGCGUGGCCAGGUGUGGGCGUGGCCUCAGUGAAGCCCCGCCCCUGCAGGUGGUGCUGGUGGAGCGGGCGGGGCGCCGGCUGCUGCAGCUCGUGGGGCUCCUGGGAAUGAUGGUGUGCGCCGUCACCCUGGGCGUGGCCCUCAAGGUGAGCUGGGACCCCAAAAUUUACCUGGACCCCACC
rnacentral:lncRNA from 1 species